UAGGGUAAUCUUCCACAAUGGGCGCAAGCCUGAUGGAGCAACGCCGCGUGAGUGAAGAAGGUUUUCGGAUCGUAAAGCUCUGUUGUAAGAGAAGAACGUGUGUGAGAGUGGAAAGUUCACACAGUGACGGUAACUUACCAGAAAGGGACGGCUAACUACGUACCAG
rnacentral:rRNA from 1 species